AGAGAGAGAGAGAGAGAGAGAGAGCUUUUCACACAUACGGUGCUGUAGAAAAAGUGCUAUAUUCCUGCCUUGCGCAAUAAUUUCAGGUCUGAGAGCUGAACCCCCAGCGGACGCAUUGAUCCUUUUACAGGUAUGCUGUAGUCUGUGGGACGUGAAUUGGAGAGCCUUCGACACACAAGACGCGACAGUGUCACAGCGGCUUAAUCCUCAUUACAGACUAAUCAAAGGGAAUUCCUGGAAAGUGCAGCACUCAGGAUGUCUACAGGUUAUGACUAUCCGGACCAGAUCACAUUUAAAAAAAGCGGGAAAGGGGCGGUGUGAGAUUGUUUUUCCUCAAUCAAGUUUGAGCAGAUAUUUUGGAUGUAACCAGACAAGCGCUAAACACCAAAAUGCUGUGGAUGAGGACAGAAUUGCUGUUUUUCUUUGUAUUCCCACUGAAUGCAGCGCAGAACUCUGAAUUACCCGCAGUAAUGGACAGUGACAUGUUCACCGAAUUUGCAUACCAAACCUCAUCCUUGAGUCUGAUCCUGUUGGUUCUAACGGUUGGACUGUCUGGCAGUGUUUACCUCUGUGUGCUGCGCUACAUCUGCACCGGCUGCUGCCAGCCUGUAGUCGUUGGACCUGAGGAUGAGAGCAUAUCAGGAGUGGUGUGACUGCUGCUUUCCUUUCGUUUCUGUGUGUCUUUACUGAUGUGCAGGUUAGCUUGUGUAAUACAGCAUGAAGCCAUUCUUUUUCCUUUCAAGCAAUUGAGCUGAAAGCGACAUUCCACGUGUGUUAGUCACUCUGGAUAAAAGCGUCCGCUCACUGUAAGAUUUACAGUUCUAGAGCUCGACUGUAUAUCAAAAGCAUUCAUUUACUCUCUAUGAAGUCAUUUAGCUGUAUGGAUGACGCAAAUGUUGAGUGAAUGAGAGGGUGGCAUGAAUAAAUAUAGCAAGCAUUGAAUGCUCAUUCAGUCUAGAGAAAUCCAUAUGACAGAAUCGACUGUACCACUGUAUUUUGAAGAGCUUUUUUAUUAACAUAUUUAAUAGUUUAUUGGUCCAAAGAUUUGUGUUUUAUUUAUUUAAUUAAAUUUUUUCAUGAAGUACUCUAUAGAAUGAAGUGCUUCACUUUGUAUUCAUUUCAUUUAUCAGCUAAAUGUGAAGCAUCUUAUGCUAUCUUCACAUCAACAUCCUUCAUGUAAUUAAGUAGGAUGCUCCCCAGGGUCUUGAUCAGGCAGUUGCUGAAACUGUUGCCACGGGCUACUGCUAGAGUUGGUUGCCAUGGAAAUAGAUUCCUGCAUUCACCUCUAGAUGGGGCUGUUACAUAAGCCGUUCAGAUUCACAUACAUUUCUAAUUCAUGUUUGGCCACAGAAGAACAAUUUUUGCCUCUAAAAAAACAAACAAUCAUUGCUUAAAUGAAAUAAAAAAGUUAUUUGU